rnacentral:lncRNA from 11 species
AAACUGUGAUGGCAAAUCUACUGAAAGUAUGCAGAGUACCACAGAGUGCCAACAGUGUGAUGAAGUGGAGGAUCACAUUCAAUGACAUCAUGGAAGACUAGUCCAGAGUAUCCUUUUAUUUUCUAUAAUGAACAAAGCAGGACCAGUAAAAG